UUGCUGGCACCAACACAGCAGGCAGGGGAGACACCUCCAGGCAGGUUCAAUCUGAUGCUUUGGUGCUGGUGGGAAAAUCCCAGGAAAAAUCAGGGAUGCCUCCCUGAGGCAGCCGAGGUCCCCCUGGCUUGGGUGUGGGUGUGUGGGAUCCUGGUCCCGCAUCGCACCCUCUGUCCGGCGGGUUGGGGAGCCCGACGGCCAAGUGCAAUCUGCUCCCUGAGCAAGGAAUAAGGAAUAAAUUGGGGCCUGCCCAUCUUGCUAUACCUCGACAUGUCUCAAAAAUGAGCCCCCAGCUGACUGUGUCCAUGCCCAGCAGCUUCAGGGGGGCUGGCUGAGUCAGUCCUCUGCUGCAGCACCCGACAGCCUCAUGCCAGUGUGGCUUUGGUGUUGGAUGUAUAAAACACCAGGCUUGCAAGGAAGGAAUGGAAAGCAGGAGAGGUGGGCAAGCUUAAGCCCCCCAGCGCCAGGUGGGCUGCGUGCUGAGCAUGGCCCUGGGUGCAUGGUGUGCCUUGUCCUGCACCGCGUGGCGAUGCUUCCCUGCAGCCCCAGCAGCAGGACAGGAACGUGGGACCACCACAGGCUAAAGGCCACUGCAGGACAGGGACCACCACAGGACUGGGACUGCUGCAGGAGAGGACCAAGUUUUGUUUUCACCCAGGUGUAAAUCCAGCACAGAAGUGAGUGUAGCUGCCUGGUGGCUGCCUGGGCCACCAUAACCUGUGGUUCUGGGCGCUGGGAGAGAAGAGCACGAGCAGCACUGCUGAACCAUUUCUGUGCAAAACAUGGUUGCAGACAGUCACGUAUAGUCGAAGCCUGGGAGAUGCAUUUAGCUCGUUUUUUGUCCUUGUCUCUAUGAAAACCCUGAGGAGUUUGUGAGGCACCUGUGAGUGCUCCUUACACGCAGGGUGGAGAGGGUCAAGAGGACCACAGAGAAACUUUCCUUUGAGGAGGAGGACACUUGAAAAAUACAAGAACAAAUUGUGCUGUUGUGAUGGUGGGUGCACUGAGGUCUCUACACAUGCAGUGAUGGGGCUCUGAAAUUCUACCUCUCCCCGACCAUGAGCAAUGAAGAGCUGUGGAGAUGGAACAUAUGGUGAUGGUGUGGGCUGUGUGCCCCAAAGCUGCCUGCGAGGUGGGGUGCCAGCCCUGCCCCGCUGAGCCCUGUGUGCCUUCAAAGUCAUGUUGGCAGUAGGUUAUGCUCACUGCUGCUUGAAACCCCAGAGCAGAUUUCAUGCCUAAAACAUUAUAAUUAGGAAGCACGGUGAAGAGCUGCACCAACAGAAGGCUUCUGUGACUGUCCAGGAAUCGCCAGCUGAGCACCGGCACCUCAGACACGUACCAUACCAUCGGCUUUGGGAAAAAACUUUGCUCAGGUUGGGUUGUCACAGCCAGAAGUUCCCUUGCACCUCUGAGAUGGAGGCACCUGGGAAGGUCAAGCCAGUUCCCAGACAGGCAGCGUUUAAUGGGAUUUUGUUCUUGAUAUACUGGGAGGUUAUCCUAGGGCAAAUACUCAGGUCCUGAUAAAGCCGAGCAGGGCUUCAGCGGAGCUCGGAGUACUGCUGUACUUUUCUGCAACUGAUAGCCCAUGCUGUGCAGGGUCGGAGAGGUCUGCGUCUCCAGAAACGGUGCUGGGUGAUGUUAUUUUGGGAGAGCACAUGGGCCUGAGUGUAUCCUGCGGUCCAUCCCCCAUGCACUCCACCUGCACCUGCAGCACGGAGUGUGGACGCGGGAAUGCCUCCAUCCACCUCAGUCUCCACUUACAGGGCUGCUGUCCAUGAACACCUCUCAGCCCUUUUUAACUCUGAUGGUACCUAAUGUUACCUGGAGGUACUGUUGCCACACCGACCCCCUUCAUGGUAGGUCCUGAGGAUGCAGAAUCGAGUGGAGUGCCAACCCAGCUGCCGGGUUGCAAAGGCAAACUUUCUGUUCCCCAAAUGAACUGAUUUCAUUAAAAAGUUGUGCAGAAAUGCAAAGGGGGGUUUCAGGAGCUCAGCUAUGCGCGCCCCACCUUUCUCAGUACUACCAGCCGGGGCUGCGCAGUGCUCGGUGCAGGGACCCAGGACCACCGUGAACCCCAGCCCUGCAGGGGCAGGCACUGGGUUGACCUACUGCCUCAGCAUGUGAAUAAACGUGAAUUUUGUGGUCUGCGCCCACUGGUGCUGGGGGCUCUUGGCACUCGUGUGGUGGUUUGGCUUGGUGCAAAGCUGGUGGUUUAAAAACCAGGGUGCUCAAAGGUUAGCGUGCUAGAGCUUAAAGCUGACUUCAUCUAAAUUGCACCGAAAGCACUGGAGGAUCAUCUGUUCCUUGCAGUGUGUUUUGAAUGAGGCUUGUAGAGCUUAGGCUGGGUCAUUAUAUCCUUAGGCAUGAAAUUUGGGGUUUUGGGGAGCAGCCCAAACAAUCAGUGGGACUAAUUAUGGAGUAAGUGUGAGCUGACCCAAGGAUGGACAGGCUCGUGGAGUCUGAACAGCACCUGAUGAUGGCUCCUGCCUGCGCACACAUUGCAGGCUGUGCCAAAACCAGUGCUGCAGUUACACUUCAUACGAGCCAAGACCCUCACCGGCUUUUAUCUGUGCUAAACCGCGCAGGAACACCAGUGGCCGGCUGCUGUUAACUGAGCCCGAGGAGGGGUCUAGGAGCUGAGCUCACAGGUGGGUUGAGUCUCUGCCAUGUUAUGUCCUACAGAAAGUCAUCUUUCUGCUCUGAUGUCGAACAGAACAUGGCUACUUCCACCUGUGAAAGUCAGCGUUACACAGUUCGCUCUAAUGAAACAACAGUUUCCUCCAGGAGAAUAUCCAAGUGUGGAAGAAAUGACCCUUUUGUGCUCACUCCACUCUUAAAGAGCUGGGCUGAUUCCUGGUGUGCCUGCCCUACCUGGAGCACCCUGCAGAGCCCACAUCUCGGUGCUGAUGUCUGUGCAAAUCCAAGGCAAGAGGCACCCCAAAGGGUUUUCGGCUGCUCUCCUGGGGGGCUCUGCAGUCCCCUGCCUUCCUGCUGGGGAAAGGAUUUGCGUGUCGGAGGAGCUGAGGAGGAGGAUGGAGUGGAGGUGCGUUAUUAUCUUUUCAUGGGAAACUUCUAGAUGAAAGAAAAAAAAUUAAAGUUUAUGUCUCAUUCUGUAUUCACAUUUUCUUUUCAUUCUGGGUUUUGAGAAAGAAGAAAUUAUUCAUGUAUCCAGACCCUCCCUUCUCUCUCUCUUAUUUCUCUCUUUCCCUCCCUCUGUGCCAAAAAUAAGAACACAAAGGGAUGGAGGGCAAAUGUUUAUAGGGAAGAGGAGACAUUCUUUCCAGGUUUUUGAGUCUUUUUAACUCUAUAGCUUUAAAUAAUGUCUGCAACCGUGUAAGAAUACAACUUGAAAAGGAAAAAAGUGAAGUGUUGAGACAUUUCAGUACAGAGGAAAGAAAAUAAACAAAUUCUUGGGCAUUUCUUGCUUUAAUGCAUUCAGUGUUAUGAAGGGGUCAAAGGAAAAAAAACACCACCACCUAUAAACAUGAAACUGUUGAUUGAGAGUCUUGAAUUGCUGAGGGGGUUUAAGAAAUCAAAAUUUUCUAAUCUGUAAAAUGGGAACUGUGCAUUUGUUUUGCAGCAUGACUUUAGACUGCUUUUCAAUUAUUCAAAAUAAGAUAUGUAGCUACUUCUUCUCCUGAUAUUUGGAGCCCCAAACCUGACGUUUGGUCUGUGGUCUGUGAAUGUUUCCAGUGGAAUUACUGACUACUGAGAAAAGCCCUGAGUGACCACAGUAUUUUGGCAGAAACACCCCCCAAAAUUUGGAGGGGUUUUGAAGAUGUAUUUUUUUUCUACCUGAUUUGAGCCAAGACCUCGGUGCCAUGGAAGGGGCCAGCUCCCCUGUGAGCGCUGCUGAAGCUCCAGUGGGGAAGCUGGGACCUGCCCACCUGGGUGACACUGGGGACUGGGACUGCUGGUGUGCUGAAGCUCAUUUUGCCCAUCAUCGGGGCAAUUAGUGGGACUUGCUGUGGGCCUUACGAAUUCAGCCGCACCUUACAGGCUGGUCCUCCCUGGAGAGGGCAGCAAAGCCGUGGUCCUUCACAGCCCUCACUCGUGACUGAGACAUAGGAGAAACUCCCAGGAGAUGUGUUUUGGAGGUGGAAAAGGCCCUUUAGUCCGUCCUGUCCCACCUUUUUCCUUUGAUAAUUUUAGAAGCUGAGAGGCCUCUCCAUGUGCCGUUUCCAGAGUGCUGGCAGGGACACGGCAGCAGUGCCUGCGGCCGUUUCUGUCUUUGCAUCCCCCCAGUCAUCUAGAAUGGAGAGAGGCAGUCUGACUUUCGAUAUCCAGCCACCAGAUUCCCUCUGCCGGCGCUGCGUGGAGCGCACCACCACGUUCCGUGAUGCUGGCUGAGCAGAGGUGGGUCUGGCACCCGUGGCUCCCUCCAGCCAGCCCUCCUCGCUCACCCUUGCUCCCACCAGAUGCAGGGUGCAGCCAGCGGUCCCGGUGUUCCCCAUGGAACUGAAGUACCUGUCUGGCUCGGGGAUGGAGGGAGCCGUAUCCCCCAGGCGUGACUACAGUGAGACACAACCAGCCCACAGGAACCACAGGAGGGGCUGGGGAGUGGAACAGCCCCAGCUGUGGAGCAGCUGCAGGGCUGAACGGUGUCCCUGUGGCACACCACGGGGCAGGGAUGCUCAGCCAUGGGGUGGAUGCGUGUCAGAAGAGGAUGAGGACACACGGAACUCCAGAAGACCCUCUAGGGUAGGUGCAUCUAUGUAGUCUGGCUAUUUUCCUACUGCUAAAUUGUCACCAGACUGGCAGUGCCUCUAACAGGUGGGUUUAUUCUGCUCAUUUCCUUUGGACUAAUCCUGUCAACUGCUUCAGACCUCAGGAUUUCUAUUUGUGGGGUGCUGCUGCCUUGCCUGCUAGACCGGGGCAGCUGCACCCUCCGUCUGCCUUCGCUUUGUGAGCACCAGCCCUGGGGGAGGCAGGCAGCACGAGGCAUGCACUCACGGCCUCUCUUGGCUUUGCAGAAGACACUGACCUAUAGUCUUUAUCCCAUCAAAAGUAACUGUCAUUUUAUAGUCAUAACUAUCUCCCGUGACCAAAAAUUCAUCUGGAAGGCAAUGAAAUGUACAUUAAUUACAUAUUGAACAACAGUAAAAGUGUUACUCUUUCCCACAGAUUUGCAGUGCAAGAGGCUUCAUUCAUGAUAAAAUUUUAAUGUGAUUACAGGCCGAGGGAUUGCGUUCUAUGUGCAUGGCUGAGCGCUGUCAGGUGCCCAGCCUGGCUGACCUUAAGAGUAAGCCCAUGGGGAGGGGCAGCCCUGCAGCAUCUCCUGGUCCUUGCUCCCAUCUCUGGGUAAGGCUCCUGGGAGAUGAGGGAUGGGGACAAGCCAGGUGACAGGGGAGAUGUUCAGGAUGUCACUAGGGCGUGUAUUUGUCCCAUGUGAUCCUUCUCUGUGAGUUUGCAGUCGGUGCUGGAUGGGUCAGAGAGCAACACAGGUGCUCUCACCCCCCUCCCCCACGCCAUCAGGCCGUGAUGCAAAUGGCCCGGGCUUGGCCUUUCCUUGCAUUACCUUCUCAUCUAUCCCCAUCCUAAAGCUGGUCUAAGCAUCCCCAUCCAUUGUGGCUACAAGCGCUGCAGAGCCAUGGUGGCAGAGGUGUGGUGCUGGUGGCUGGACAGUGGAGUGGGCUGGGGGGACCACUGGUCCAGGAGCUGUGGGAAUGGUGAUCUGAGUUGUGAUAUGGUGAGGGCAGGUGUGAAAUGCGGGGUCUGCUCUGGCAGAGGCAUGAAGACCCUGAGGACCUUGGCUAGGAGAGGGGCUGGGGACUUUGAGACCCAAGGCUCUCUGUGCCAAGGGGAUAUGGGAUAGGGAGCAGCAUCUGCUUGACUCCCACAGGAUCCUGGCUGGGAGGAGGCAGGAGAGCACACAGCCCCACAGCAUCUUUUUUUGCUCUAGGAAAUCUCAUCAUCCCACUCAGGCAGAUAUGGUAAAUAGGUAACGUACUACCUAGAGAAGUUAAACAAAAUCCUGGACGGACUCCCUGGUGGGUUCCCAGCCUUUUGGUGCCUUGGAGCCAUGAUGGGGGCAUAAACACACGCAGAAAAGCAAAGUGGCAUGUUGGCAGGAGCCAUGGAGGUGCUGGGUCAGAAAGGCUGAGCACUGCUGAGCAGUAAGUCAUUCAGCUGCACAAAUACCUGCAAACGAGCUCACUAGUAUCACCUGCACAAAACCCCACCUAGUAAGUUCUGCAAUUUUUGACCUUCUGUCCCCACAAAUAAUAACAGCAGAGCAACAGAAAGCUCUCUAAUGUACUUGCAGUGUAAUAAAGUAAGCCCACUAGGAAUAAAAUCUACAGCAAUUACUGUGCCAGGUAUUAUGCUGAUUUAUCAAAUUGCAGCUGAAAGUCAAGAAGAGUUGAAGAUACAGUGAUAAAACAUCUGAUCUCAAAUCUGACUCUAAAUUACCCUUCUGGCCAGCACAGUAUUUCAUCCAGAAGAAUUGUUAUUCCUCUCAUCUUUCUUCUUCAAAAAUCAUUGUUCAAACCGGUAAUUUUGCACUCCUUGUGUAGUGGAGCAAGCACUUUGCCAGCACUCUGCACUGUGUGAUUAGCUGCUAAGGUGAUGCUGAGUCUUUUGGAGCGAGCCUCACAAACCUCCCCCUGCAGGGUGGAGCAUAUGAAAUGGAAGGAAACCAACUGGGGUUCAUCACUGCAAGACACAGUCUCUUUCAUGCCCUUGUGUUGUUGGAAAGGUGGCAAAGAUGCAUCAUGUCAUGUUUGCUUGACGGGUAGAAGCUUUCCAUCACCUGGUGACUGCGGUGGGCAGAGGGCAGGUGAAGCGCAACAGGUCCUGCUGCUGAGGCUUACAUCCCAGCUAGCCACCGACCCCAUGCCUGCGCCGAGGGGCUGGGGUGUGACGCAGCUGCAAGCACUCGAUGGUGACCACCACCGCUGUGGAGCACAGGUACAUUGGGGUGAUGAGCUGGAGGUGCUGUGCAGCCAGUGCUGGGUCCAACAUACACCCUCUUUGCCUGGUUGCAUGGCACUGCAGAGUCUGAGCAUGGAGGUCCCGGUGCUGCACGUGGGGGCUGUGCCACGAGCAGGGUCCCACUGCUCUAGUACAUUCCCUUCACCAUGAACUUGCUCUGACUGGCCACUCUGCUUCCAGCAGGAGCACAGGGAGGACUGAUGCUCUCAGCAUGGGCACCACAUCCCCAUGGGAGCUUUGGGGAUGGGGACACUUGCCAAGGUGCAGAGCUGUCCUCAGUGGGGGACCAGGACUUCACUGGGGUAGAACAAGACCUGCCCAGGCACAUGCCACAGUUGUCAGGUACCUAGAAUUUGUCAAACAAAGUCCUUUCCUUUGAUCCUUCUUGUGUAAAGUUCUCAAUAUUGCCCAUCAGGAUUUUUUUCCCUUCCAUUCCAUCAUCUUAGUAAUAAUAACACAGACAUAACAAAGGCAAACUGUCCUCCCGGUGCUGCUGGGGCAUUUGUGGCCAUGGCCCUAUGCUGUGGGGGCAGCUUAGGGCCUGGGCUUGCCCCCCCCUUCUGCACACCCUGGAUGUCCAGGUGACCAUGUCCCGGGGGGGCGGUGGGAUGCUGGUGGGUACCUUCAUUUCUGCGUGAGCCAGGCAUUGCUGCCCGCAGGCACCCCAUCGCAUCGCAUCACAUCCCAUCCCACUCCACCUGGGGCUACUAGCCCAGAAGGCUGAGUCCCUGCGCUUGAAGGGUUAACUCCACUGAGAUCCUCUGAUGAGAUCUGUUAAACUCCCCACUACAUCCUACAGUGCUGCUAAUUAGGUCUUCAUAAACCAAAGUCAAUUAGCCAGGAUUCUCCCUGCCUGUGUCUCUUAACUACCCUCUCCAUCAUUAGCCAACACCUGGGAACACCUGCCUGGGUCCUGC